GCCUCCCGCUAGAGCCGCCUCUCCCCGGGGCGCUUCAGGAGUUUGCUGGCAGCCGGAGCCCCCAGAAGGCCAGAAGCCCUGUGCCGGGCCAGCAGGGCUGCGGAGCUUGUGGCCCUCAGGGGCUGGGGACGAACCUCACUGCCUUUCUUGCCCUUGCCCUUUCCACGGAGGGCGGGAGGCUCAGGAAGGGAGAGGCUGGGUGCCUACUGGCGGCAGUCCUGGGAGGAAGGAAGAAGCCAGGCUGGCUCUGAGCCGUGGAAGAUGGGAUACCUGGGGUUUGACUCAGUUCUGAUUCUCCUGGCUCAGAGACCUUCACCAGAUCACUCCUCUUCUCCGAGCUUUGGUUUUUCAGAAGUAAAACAGGAGGCUCCUGGGAACCUGAGGCUCACCCUGAAGAGGAAGCCACUUUCCAGCCGUCAGCAAUGUCUGGAUCCCUCCUUCCGGCAUCUGACAGGGCAAGGCCUUCAUUCAGCAGAAUCUGAGCACUUUACUAUGCACCUAGCCCAGUGAUGAGAAAGAUGGGAUGGAGGCGCACCUGGGUGGUGGUCGGUUAAGCGCACGACUCUUGGUUUCUGAGUGCCUCCUCUGGGCCAGUCACUGUUCUAACUGCUGGGGAUCCCUGCCUCAGGAAGCUGCCGGUGGUCCUGGAGGGGUGGCUCUGUCUCCAAAUUAGAGUUGCAACGGGCUUAAUCAGUGGCCCCGUCCCUGCUGGGCCCCAGCACAGGCAUGUGUCUUCAGCUGGAAGGCCUAAGGAAUCAUCAAGUUCAAAACCAGUGUCCUGACCUUACAUGCAGGGAGACCAAGGUUCGGUGAAGGAAGGAGCACACUCCUGACCCUUGACUUCCCUGGCUCCACUGCAGGCUACCAUCCUUCUAAAUCUUCAGUUUGCUGAAGCAGAGGACGCGUCAUGACAGGACGUGGCCAAGGUUCCCAGCCCACCUGCCACCUGAACCCAGCGCAGAGAGUGGAUGGAUGGAUGUGGACCUGGAAACCCCUACACUGGACAGCUUCUCUAAGACCUUGAGGGAGGGGACCCCCUAGCUCCAGGCUGAUGCAGCAGAUGUCUCAGUCCCUGUGUCCCUGGCACUGCUUUCUGCUUAUUAAAUGCCCGAAACCAGGGUUGGCUGGAAGCCGUCUCAGCAGGGGGAGCGCUCAGCCUUGGGCCCCACUGUCCAGCCCUAGAGUCUUCACUGGCAAAAUGGGUGCAGCCCUAACAGUUCUAACCUCCCGGGGCUGGGAGAAGAGCAGGCCUGCCCUGCAGUUAUCUCCCUGCUCUGGGCAGAAACGCCGAGUGAAAAAGAUGGGCCGAGGCUCCCGGAGCGGCCGGUGCAGGAGAGAAGCCACGGAUGCAAGGGCAGGAUGUUCAGAGCCUGAGAAAUCCCAAAGCAACUGCCACUCUUGGUCCUUGGGCUUCCAGUAGCUCCUUCCCCUCACCCACUCCUGGGGAGGGCCCCUGGCAGAUGAACCUUCAGCGUGGCAUAGGCAUCCGCACGUGGAGGCUGUGGCCGUGGGGACGGUUUGACGGCCAGAGAUGCCAACGAGCAGAUGUGUAGGUGCCUGGAGGGG